rnacentral:lncRNA from 1 species
UUUUGACAAUACAUUGCACAAAUAUCGGGUAAAUGUACCAUUUAGUCGUGUUAAAUUACUGAAAUCUUCACAAUUCUAGCAUUUUAGUUAAAUUUUAGACGGUUUUCGUAUAAAACAAAAGUGGCCGCAUUCGUGUUCAUCCUUAAUAUUGAAAUGCAAGUUGUAUUUUAUGAUAAUACAUACCAUAUAUAAAGGUUGAGGAU